rnacentral:lncRNA from 1 species
CCCAAGGAAUGCCCACCCUUCCUCCAAUCCGCCGGCCCCCCGCUGCCCUGCCAGGUGGGCUUCCCCUCAUUUAAGGCCCUAGGUGGUCAUUUCAGCCACUGGGCGUUGCUUCCUCCCGGAUCACCUGCUGGCCCCCUUUUUCCUUAACUCUGCCUUUCAAACAAAUAAAUAUUUUUUUUUUAGAAGAAAAAAAGGGGAAAAAUACAUACUGCAUGUUACAAACACUUCUAUCCAAAAUGCACCCCCCCCCCCCACGCCAUGCACACACACACAAGCACUCAGGCUACAGGACACGAUUUCCUGAUGCCGCAGGAGGGCCGUCAGCACCUGUCCCCCACCAGGUGCCAGGCAGGUCCCAGCACGUGUUCAGCAAGAAGCUGGCUCAGAGAGGUGUCGCAGAGCUCCAGGGAGGCGAGGCUGCCGUCUUCACUUCCGCCUCCCAACUCAUAGAACUGGAAACAUUGCCCUUGCAACCAGGCGGAAGGUGGCAGAUGGGGGGGACAGCGGAGGGGCAGGCUGCCCUCGGCCGCAGGGUUUCUCCCUCCCGGCUCUCCCAACCCCAUCCCGAGGUGACUGGGCGCCCCUCUCCCGUCUGCUCCUUCUCUGGACUCAGGGAGACCUGCAGGGGCCACAUGACUUGGCCAAGGUCCCCCAGGUGGCCCCCUCCCCCUAGAGCUAGAGCCCAGCCUCUGCUUCCUGUCCCGCAACCCACCCCCGCUGCACAGAUGGCGGGCGCUAAUGACGGCUGGGGACGCCCCUGGAGUGGCCCUCUGGUUUCCUCGGGAACGGGUGACAUUCAGUGCCACACUGAGCUGCUCCCUCUCCCCACAGCCCAGAGCUAAUUGUCCUGACUCCCUUCCAAGAGUGUCUCUCCGAACAGCCUUCGCAGGUACAAUUAGGUGGGUUCAGCCUGACUCUCACACUCCCGCGCUGAAAAAUCCAAUCAGCCAGGAUCGGAAGUCCGCUGAGAGCCUGCUCGGAGCUGGGAAUAAAGCUCACACAUCAUUACCCGCCCCCGCCCGCCGGGGAGCCUGGGCCCGAGACCCCAUGCCACACAGCCAGAACCGCUCCCUGGCCAGAGCCCGUGACUGCUCUUGGUGCCCUCUCCUCCCUCCCAGCACACACCCCACCCCCGACUGCUGCCCCCUGAAACCCUGGACCGCUGUUGACUGGCUCAGAGGAUGGGGGCAGCGGGGAGUGGCCCCCUCUGGAGUGAGCCAGCGUCCCAUCAUGGUGCUGGCUGCAGACCUGAGAUCAAAAGCCGCAGGGCUGACCCUGGAGUGGCUGAACGGCACGGCCAUGGUUUCACCUCGCACAUCCUCUCCUUGCACCUGCUUGCUCUGCACCUCCGCCCCAGGUCACGAUGCGGAAACUGAGGCCAGGAGAGGCAGGCCCCACGGUCAGGUGGUCAGGUCACUUCUGCCUCGGGCUUCUGUCCCUUUAGGGUCGCAGGUGUCUGCAGCCGGAAGGCCUCAGGUUUCACUACCCUCCCCGUCUUGCUGGAGCCCCGCCUAG